AUUGAACGCUGGCGGCAUGCCUUACACAUGCAAGUCGAACGGCAGCGCGGACUUCGGUCUGGCGGCGAGUGGCGAACGGGUGAGUAAUGUAUCGGAACGUACCAUUGAGUGGGGGAUAACGUAGCGAAAGUUACGCUAAUACCGCAUAUUCUCUCCGGAGGAAAGCAGGGGACCGCAAGGCCUUGCGCUCUUUGAGCGGCCGAUAUCAGAUUAGCUAGUUGGUGGGGUAAAAGCUCACCAAGGCGACGAUCUGUAGCGGGUCUGAGAGGAUGAUCCGCCACACUGGAAGUGAGACACGGUCCAGACUCCUACGGUAGGCAGCAGUGGGGAAUUUUGGACAAUGGGGGCAACCCUGAUCCAGCCAUGCCGCGUGAGUGAAGAAGGCCUUCGGGUUGUAAAGCUCUUUCGGCCGGGAAAAAAUCGCAUGGAUUAAUACUCUGUGUGGAUGAUGGUACCGGAAUAAGAAGCACCGGCUAACUACGUGCCAGCCGCCGCCGUAAUAC
rnacentral:rRNA from 1 species